AGAGUUUGAUCCUGGCUCAGGAUGAACGCUGGCGGCGUGCCUAACACAUGCAAGUCGAACGAGGUCUUCGGACUUAGUGGCGGACGGGUGAGUAACGCGUGAGAAUCUGUCCACGGGACGGGGACAACGGUUGGAAACGACCGCUAAUACCCGAUGUGCCGGAAGGUGAAACUUUUAUGGCCCGUGGGGGAGCUCGCGUCCGAUUAGCUAGAUGGUAGGGUAAGAGCCUACCAUGGCGACGAUCGGUAGCUGGUCUGAGAGGAUGAGCAGCCACACUGGGACUGAGACACGGCCCAGACUCCUACGGGAGGCAGCAGUGGGGAAUUUUCUGCAAUGGGCGAAAGCCUGACGGAGCAACGCCGCGUGGGGGAGGAAGGUUCUCGGAUCGUAAACCCCUUUUCCCGGGGAAGAAGCCAGUGACGGUACCCGGGGAAUCAGCCUCGGCUAACUCCGUGCCAGCAGCCGCGGUAAUACGGGGGAGGCGAGCGUUAUCCGGAAUUAUUGGGCGUAAAGCGUCCGCAGGUGGUCUACCAAGUCCGCCGUCAAAGCGCGCGGCUCAACCGCGUACCGGCGGUGGAAACUGGAAGACUAGAGAGCAGUAGGGGUAGCGGGAAUUCCCGGUGUAGCGGUGAAAUGCGUAGAGAUCGGGAAGAACAUCGGUGGCGAAAGCGCGCUACUGGGCUGUAUCUGACACUCAGGGACGAAAGCUAGGGUAGCGAAAGGGAUUAGAUACCCCUGUAGUCCUAGCCGUAAACGAUGGAUACUAGGCGUGGCUUGUAUCGACCCGAGCCGUGCCGAAGCUAACGCGUUAAGUAUCCCGCCUGGGGAGUACGCGCGCAAGCGUGAAACUUAAA
rnacentral:rRNA from 1 species